AUUGAACGCUGGCGGCAGGCCUAACACAUGCAAGUCGAGCGGAGCGGCGGACGGGGGAGUAAUGCCUAGGAAUCUGCCUGGUAGUGGGGGAUAAAGUCCAGAAACGGGCGAUAAUACCGCAUAAUAUAAGAUGAGCAUAGGUCGGAUUAGCUAGUUGGGGGGGUAAAGGCCUACCAAGGCGCCGAUCCGGAACUGGUCUGAGAGGAUGAUCAGUCACACUGGAACUGAGACACGGUUCAGACUCCUACGGGAGGCAGCAGGGGGGAAUAUUGGACAAUGGGCGAAAGCCUGAUCCAGCCAUGCCGCGUGUGUGAAGAAGGUCUUCGGAUUGUAAAGCACUUUAAGUUGGGAGGCGUUACCAACAGAAUAAGCACCGGCUAACUUCGUGCCAGCAGCCGCGGUAAUAC
rnacentral:rRNA from 1 species